CACGUAGGGAGCAAGCGUUGUCCGGAAUCAUUGGGCGUAAAGCGCGCGUAGGCGGCCCUGUAAGUCCGUUGUGAAAGUCAAAGGCUCAACCUUUGAAAGCCGAUGGAUACUGCAGGGCUAGAGUCCGGAAGAGGCGAGUGGAAUUCCUGGUGUAGCGGUGGAAUGCGCAGAUAUCAGGAGGAACACCAAUAGCGAAGGCAGCUCGCUGGGACGGUACUGACGCUAAGGCGCGAAAGCGUGGGGAGCGAACAGG
rnacentral:rRNA from 1 species